GCACCCAUCGUCUAAUAGGUUAGGACAUUAUCCUUUCAAGGUAAGAAUACGGAUUCGAGUUCCGUUGGGUGUACCA
rnacentral:tRNA from 1 species